GAUGAACGCUGGCGGCGUGCCUAAUACAUGCCAGUCGAGCGAAUGGACGAGAAGCUUGCUUCUCUGAUGUUAGCGGCGGACGGGUGAGUAACACGUGGAUAACCUACCUAUAAGACUGGGAUAACUUCGGGAAACCGGAGCUAAUACCGGAUAAUAUUUUGAACCGCAUGGUUCAAAAGUGAAAGACGGUCUUGCUGUCACUUAUAGAUGGAUCCGCGCUGCAUUAGCUAGUUGGUAAGGUAACGGCUUACCAAGGCAACGAUGCAUAGCCGACCUGAGAGGGUGAUCGGCCACACUGGAACUGAGACACGGUCCAGACUCCUACGGGAGGCAGCAGUAGGGAAUCUUCCGCAAUGGGCGAAAGCCUGACGGAGCAACGCCGCGUGAGUGAUGAAGGUCUUCGGAUCGUAAAACUCUGUUAUUAGGGAAGAACAUAUGUGUAAGUAACUGUGCACAUCUUGACGGCACCUAAUCAGAAAGCCACGGCUAACUACGUG
rnacentral:rRNA from 1 species